CGUGAUCUGAGAUCUGAUGAUGAAUUAAAUUCAAAAAUCACGAUAACCCUUUGAUUCAGAUUAAGUUUUCAGUACUUAUACAGAGAGAUCUCAACCGGUGUACAGUUCAUCAAUUUUGCUUAAGUGUGAAUCUGGUGGUGUCUUUUAUUCAAUUCAAAGAAGAAGAAGUUUCUUUCCAUAAACAAGUUAUAAUCUUCUGGUUCUUGGAGUUUAUUUCGCAGGUAAAUGUUACUAGACAUCUAUAGAUCAUUCUCGUGGACUGUGGUUGAGUACGCUUGUUCUGAUUGCAACAUGCCUGCUAUGACAAAGAGUUUUGAGCACCACAAUUUUGGGCACAUAUUUGAC